rfam:Echinostoma caproni strain Egypt genome assembly, scaffold: ECPE_scaffold0009377
GCACUGCUGACGAGUCCCAAACAAGACGAAAUAGCUGUUCAAUGC